GGGUUUGAAGCUCACCAGUCAGGAAGUGAGGCCGACAGACGGAAGGGCGGGCAGGGUCGAGGAGUUCUGGGGCACAGCAGAAGGGGCCUUCUGAAGUUUGGGGGUUGCAGGGUCAUGGGCUUCAGAAGCAGAGGUGGUUGGUAGUCUGGCAAGGCAAGUCUGCGCAACAUGCAUGCCCAGAGGCAGUUGGCUAUAGCCACAGUAAGAGCAGAAGUCAGGCGACAUGAGGUGGCCAAGCAAGCUCUGAGCCGACUCAGGAAGCUGGCAGAGAGAGUGAGUGACCCCGAACUCCAAGCUGGCAUCCAGGCCUCACUGGACAGCGUACGAGGUAAGAGAUGCAUCAGUCCCUAACUUGGCUGCUUUGGGGACCAGUACAGGGCAUGGAAAUGCUUAGCCGUGCGUGUCUUAACAGAGUUUCUGGCUGUUCAGGCAUUGACUUCCUCGUUCCUGAGAUGGAGCUGGGAAUUGGGAAGAAGACAUUAGGGGAGAUGGGAAAAGACAUGGGGGGGUAUUAUUAUUCCUUUUCCCAAAGCCCAACUCUGAACAGAGUACGGGUCACUGUGGGACUGACCUUCUUGGCAGCAGAGAGUGGACACACACUGGGGAGACAGACCCGAUAGAUGGAGUCCCUGUCUGAGGAGUCUAGAACAGGAAGCUGUCGGGACAGAAGGUUCUGGGACUCGGUAACGUGUUCAUUCCCAGGACCCACUAAAGAUCAGUGACCUCUUGUUCUCCAGCUGUAGAGAAGCACACACACACACACACACAUACACACACACACACACACACGGGGGGGGGGGGGGAUACACCACAAAGGAUGUCAGGUUCCCAGACACACUAACCCUUAAGACUCCACACUUUAUACAGCCGCAGUGCAGCAAGGACCCCAGGACUUGCCUCAGUCCCCUCUCCUUCUGUCUCCCCUUCUUGUCUUCCCCUUGGGUUCCUUCCGUUCUACCUCCUUAGUGCCAUUAGAGUAACUGAUGACAACACUGGGAGGAAGUGCUGUCAUGGCAACAGCAUCCGCCACAUCCUCCUGCCCACUGUAGCCUUGGAUCCUGUGCUGGGGCCCUGGCAAGUCUGUUCUCCAUCCAUGAGGCCCAGCACUGAGGAACUGGGGGGCUGUUACACUCCAUCCAUUUCUGGAUUCCCAAGAAGCUGGCUUUCUUGCUUGUGAAUUAUGUCAGGGAGAAACAAGCCCGUCCUCCAUCAGACCCUGAUCAUUCCAGUUAUCAGACCUCUCUGCUCCCAGCUACUUCUUUGGGAAGGGAGUGUCAAAACAAACAAACAAACACCUUCUGACACCAGGGCACAAUUUGGAGGCAGGCAUGAUUGAUUUAGGGUUUUAGUGGGAUAGCUUCCACGCCUCUGUCUUCUCAUUACCCUUCUGAAGUUAGCGUCUCUUUCAGCUCCAGAACACAAGCCUCUGACAGGAAAUAUACUUGCAUCUUCCCGGAUAGCCACAGUGAUGAGAAAGGAAGUCCUAGGGAGGCUAGUCCACAGGACUGCCUAGUGGGGGAAACUCUAGAUUUCACCUUUGUCUGGAACAGCAUGGGGUUGGGACCAGGCAAAGGAAUUCUCUUAGUCCUGGGGGGGGGGGGGCGGGGAGCUAGUGUGAUGGGGCACCCCAGUGUCCCUAGCACCAUAAUCUCACAACCUUGGUUCUAGAGCAGCCUCGAUUACAGAGCAAGUCCUAGACUCAGCUAUCCAAAAGAAGAGAAAGAAAGGAAGGAAGAAAGAAAGUAGGGUAAGGAGAGAGUGGAGGCUGAUAGACGUUUCUCUGUAUCUUUGUGUGUGGUGUGUGUUGCUGGGGAUAAAACCUAGGGCCCCCAGGCCUCCUAUCGUGAUAGGCAAGGGCUCUACCAGUCCGACACUAUGGGUUUUUUUUGGGGGGGGGUUGUUGUUGUUGUUGUUUUUGUUUUGAGUCUGAAUUUGGGUCCUGCUCUCUAUCUCGGGCUCCCCUUGGACUCUCUGUGUAGCUCAGGCUGUCCUCAAACUUUGAGUCAUCCUCCUGCCUCAGCUUCCUCAAAAGAGUGCACCACCUGGCAAAGCUGUGCUCUUCCUAAGUAAUUUGUUCUCUUCUGAGACAGAAUUCUUUUCACACUAAAUAUGAAGGCGAACUGAGACCACUCCACCCCCAAAUACUAAAAAGCUAACAAUUCUCAUUUAUGAAAUUGUCUCCUUCAUGGAAAAAUUAGGGUGGGUCUCCUGCCCUGAGGAUGUUUGAUGGGCAAUCCC
rnacentral:lncRNA from 1 species